CUCUUCGUCCAUCCUCGUCGUUCGUCGUCGUCGUUCGCUGGCGUUCGCUACUGCCACCACUACCCCACCACUACCACCACUACCCCCACCACCGCCGUUGCCGCCGCCGCCGUUCGCCGCCGUCGCCGCCGCCACCGCCGCCGCCCUCCGCGCGACGAGGAGAACGAGAGAGCCGAGUCGGUCAAUACUCCGGGCAACGCGGCGGUGAGAGCACGACGGUGGUCGCUCGUAAGCGCGCCGUGCCGUCACUCGAGAGAGCCAGUGUGCCACCUCGAGAUUCCUUCGUUCGCGGACAUAUCAAAGAGACAUAUACACCUCCUCUAACCGUCCAAAUACUAGCAUACUAUCUGCUCCUCGUGUUGCGGAGACGAAGGACGUGCGCGACACUAGAAGAAGCCAACGAGAAAGAACAGGAGGAGGAGGAGGAGGAGGAGGAGGACGACGA